UACGGAGGGUGCGAGCGUUAAUCGGAAUUACUGGGCGUAAAGCGCGCGUAGGCGGUUUGUUAAGUCAGCUGUGAAAGCCCCGGGCUCAACCUGGGAACUGCAGUUGAUACUGGCCGACUGGAGUACGAGAGAGGGAGGUAGAAUUCCAUGUGUAGCGGUGAAAUGCGUAGAUAUAUGGAGGAAUACCGGUGGCGAAGGCGGCCUCCUGGCUCGAUACUGACGCUGAGGUGCGAAGGCGUGGGGAUCAAACAGG
rnacentral:rRNA from 1 species